ACAGUACAAACUGAACAGGCGGUGGAUUUUCCAAGAGGCCGGGCCGACUAAAAUGGCAGCAGAUGAAUUUGCAUCUGUGGGACAGU
rnacentral:ncRNA from 1 species